rnacentral:rRNA from 1 species
GACGAACGCUGGCGGCGUGCUUAACACAUGCAAGUCGAACGGAAAGGCCCUGCUUUUGUGGGGUGCUCGAGUGGCGAACGGGUGAGUAACACGUGAGUAACCUGCCCUUGACUUUGGGAUAACUUCAGGAAACUGGGGCUAAUAACGGAUAGGAGCUCCUGCUGCAUGGUGGUGGUUGGAAAGUUUCGGCGGUUGGGGAUGGACUCGCGGCUUAUCAGCUUGUUGGUGGGGUAGUGGCUUACCAAGGCUUUGACGGGUAGCCGGCCUGAGAGGGUGACCGGCCACAUUGGGACUGAGAGACGGACCAGACUCCUACGGGAGGCAGGAGUGGGGAAGAGUGCACAAAGGGCGGAAGCAUGAUGCAGGAACGCCGCGUGCGGGAUGACGGCCUUCGGGUUGUAAACCGCUUUCGCCUGUGACGAAGCGUGAGUGACGGUAAUGGGUAAAGAAGCACCGGCUAACUACGU